ACCGUCUUUCCAUUGUGGAGGGGGUGUGGUCCACGUGUCCCCUGAGGGCAGGGCGUGUGCAGGAGCUGGCGGUGAAGCAACUGACAGGGUCGCGGGGGGUGCUGGAGCCUAUCUCAGCUGCAUUCGGGCGGAAGGCGGUGUACACCCUGGACAAGUCGCCACCUCAUCGCAGUGGUCCAAAUGCCUUUGAAGAUGAGGCACUGGAGCCUAUCUCAGCUGCAUUCGGGCGGAAGGCGGCGUACACCCUGGACACGUCGCCACCUCAUCGCAGUGGUGCAAAUGCCUUUAAACAGUAAAAAAACCAAAAAACUUCGAUCCAUCCAUUUUCUACCGCUUAUUCCCUUUUGGGGUCGCGGGGGGCACUGGCGCCUAUCUCAGCUACAAUCGGGCGGAAGGCGGUGUGCACCCUGGACAAGUCGCCACCUCAUCGCAGUGGUCCAAAUGCCUUUAAAGAAUUAAAAAAAAAAAAAAAAAAACUUACAUGUUAAAUAUUUCUGUCCGGGGCUGAUUUACAGAUUUAUACUGUAUAUAUUUAUAUUUAUUAAUCCAUCCAUUCUUUUUUCUACCUCUUAUUCCCUUUGGGGUGGCGCUGGAGCCUAUCUCGGC